rnacentral:rRNA from 1 species
UACGUAGGGUGCGAGCGUUAAUCGGAAUUACUGGGCGUAAAGGGUGCGCAGGCGGUUUUGUAAGACAGGUGUGAAAUCCCCGGGCUUAACCUGGGAACUGCGCUUGUGACUGCAAGACUUGAGUGCGGCAGAGGGGGGUGGAAUUCCACGUGUAGCAGUGAAAUGCGUAGAGAUGUGGAGGAACACCGAUGGCGAAGGCAGCCCCCUGGGCCGAUACUGACGCUCAUGCACGAAAGCGUGGGGAGCAAACAGG